CAAACAUGGGGCUCACACGAAAGCUGCUGUGGCGCAAUGAAGGUGAAGGGCACCGUCCGGGGGCCCGAGGUGGGAUCCCGAGGCCUCUCCAGUUCCCCAAGGGUGCACCACCGGCCCGUCUCGCCUGCCACGUCAGGGAGGUGGAGCACGAGUGCACUUGUUAGGACCCGAAAGAUGGUGAACUAUGCCUAAGCAGGGUGAAGCCAGAGGAAACUCUGGUGGAGGUCCCUAGUAGUCCUGACGUGCAAAUCGGUCGUCCAACCUGGGUAUAGGGGCAAAGACUAAUCGAACCAUCUAGUAGCUGGUUCCCUUCGAAGUUUCCCUCAGAAUAGCUGGUGCUCUCGCAACAAGACAAAAGUCCAACGAAGUUUUAUCCAGUAAAGUGAAUGAUUAGAGGUCUUGGGGCUGAAAUGAUCUCAACCUAUUCUCAAACUUUAAAUGGGUAAGAAGCCUGGCUCGGAAUGUGAGUGUCUAGUGGGCCACUUUUGGUAAGCAGAAGAGCAGACUACUUAUUUUAUAAUCUUCUGUAUGUCACAAAAACAAUGGACAUUUUCCUUCAUGUGAAUCUGCUUGCCUUUUUGCCUCUGUUCUCACACCCUGCAUUCCCUUGGAUCUCUAAAUGUGUGCAGAU
rnacentral:ncRNA from 1 species